rnacentral:tRNA from 1 species
UUGUCCAAUUGCAUGUCUACAUAAAAUAAAAUAUAGGCAAUAAGGAUUUUGUUGUGUAAUAUCCAUGUAAAGAAUACAAACAAAAAUGGAACUUCAAAGGGAAAAUUUAAAACUAUUAAGUUGGCUGCCACCAAAAGUCACAAGAAUUUGAAGCAAUAAUAACACCAAGCUUGAAGCUGUAGCUGCCACCCGAAAUCUACACAAGUUGUUGAUAAGAAAUACAAACAGAUAGAUAGAAGCAUAAGAGAAAAUGCGAGCAAUUGCUUCUAUUGAGCGGUUCCCUUCUGUUUCAAAGUGAUUUUAUCCCCAAGACUCAGAGCAAUUCCCUGGGUUUUACUUCUUAUUCUGAUAUAACCGCUCAAUUUACCAUCGGAUUGCUUCUCAAUGCUCACAUUCACAAGAGCAUCUUCCCCAAAAACACUCUUUGCAUACAGAUUCGCAGCUAGAAAACCACACUCGCCUUCCAAUGCAGAGCUGAACAAGAGACAAUGUAAACCAAAUUAAACAAAUUGCAUGGGUCCCCCAUUAAAUCAAGCACAGCAAUUAUAUAAAAUGUAGAAAUAUUAAUGAAUACUACAAUCAGUUAUAGGCACUUCAUUAUUUAGGCAUCAUGUUUCUUAAUUAAAAAACAUUUUUCCUUAAAAAGAAAAACAGAAUUCUGGUAGUAGAGCAACUUACUAGCUUAGCAGCUUCACUUGUUAAAGUUGCAAGAAUAUAUCACUAUCACCAUUCACAACUCUUGUGACCAGAAGCAACAGCAAUGAGGUUGUCUUGAGACCAAACAAUGGAGUUUGGAAAACAAGGUGAACCCAUUAGCAUCGCUGACUGUAACGGAGUUGGACCCAUGUUGUGUGAAGAAGAAGAAGAGGAGGGUUCGAAUCCCUUGAUCUGCAAGUCAAUUUUCUUUGUUUUAAAUUUUUUUGAUUUCGCGCUAGCUCGCUACAAUUAAAUAUUAGGGUACACUCAGAAAACGGGAAAACAAAGAAAGAAGGACCGCAUAGCGCAGUGGAUUAGCGCGUCUGACUUCGGAUCAGAAGGUCGUGGGUUCGACUACCAUUGUGGUCGCCCCUCACUUUUUUUCCAAUUCCAAAAAUACAACAGUUUGGUAAAACUAAUAUUUUACAUCUAAAAAAUGGUUAUUUGAACCCAUCAACUCUUCCUCCCAAGCAAACAAAGGCCGACGCCACUUCCAAGCUUCCCCUCCCAACCCCUACCCUGACAAAUGCAUAUCGAAAGCCCACUAAACCUAAUAUUAAGGAGGACACCAUUUAGCCAAGCAUCCCUCCGAAACAGAGUACAGGACCCAUCCCCUACCUCUCGUCUAAUGUUAUCAAGCAACCAACUCCCAUCUCCCAUUCCAACACCCUAUCGUCUAAUAUUAAUUGUUCGCUGCACUUUAUGUAAUCUCGAAUCGCUUCCCUUUAUUCUCUUAGCUAAAUCUUGACAACUCAGAGUCAUAGAGGAAGAAACUACAAUAAUAGUUUGAAGAUUUCCCCAACUACUCCUCAAAUAAAUUUGAUUAAACUUUAGUCUUAAACCAUUCAACACUAAUUCAAUAACUUGAUCAAAGGGUCGUUUUUCUCUCUCUUCCAAAUUUGAUAAAGGAGAUGUUUCCUGAUUGAUCAAUAGCAAUCUUUGAAAAUCAAACUAUUCAUGCUUUUGUUUUGAACAAAUUUUAUCAAUUACAGUAGUUAGUAAAUAGCUUGUAUUCAAACUAUCCAUACUUAACAAUUAACUCCAAAUGGCUUCCCCAUAUGCAAUUCUUCACUCCAUUUAAUUGGGCCCUUAAUUUUCAGAUGACCUGAACGGUGAAAAUCGUAUCAGAGUCAAAAGAAAUCAAUUGUGGAAAUUGUAUCGGAGUCAAAAGAUUUAAAAGAAAUCAAUUGAGAGAAUGAAUAUAUGUACAAAAUCUUCUUCCUAGGUUUGUUACUUAUAUAUUUAUUCCUUUAGAAAAUGAAAAAACUAACUUUUUAACAUAACCUAAUCACAGAAAUCUUCUUCCCCAUCCACCCAGCUUCAGAAAUCAAUCACUGGCGCGGCACCAAUGAAAAAGCAGAGAACAAACUCUCUCAAAUCAUCUUCACAACAAUUGAAUUAUUCUUCAGAUUUAGAUUUACCGGAUGAUUGCUGGGAACGUGUCUUCAGAUUGCUUAAGGAUGACGACCACCGGAAACGCUACAUGAAGUCUCUCUCAGUCGCUUCAAAACACUUCCUCUCCGUCACCAACAGUUACAAAUUCUCUCUCACUAUCUGGCAUUCAACCCGUUACCUUCCACGCCUCCUACAAAGGUUCACCAAUCUCACCUCUUUUGACCUUUCCUUCUACUACUUUAACCUCGAUGCGCUUCUCACCCAAAUCUCCUGUUUCCCAUUGAAACUCACAUCGCUCAAUAUCUCAAACCAACUCAACCUUCCCGCUAAUGGCUUGCGAGCUUAACCUCACUCGUCUGUUCCAACCUAAAUUCUAUUAAUAGCAGUAAUAGAAUUAGAGGCUCUUUCAUUGGCACUCUUCAAACUCCGCAAGCUUAAUCUCUCUGAUCAUUACUACGUCAACGACAUUUUGCUUUUUCAAUUGUUCAAGAACUGCAAGUUUCUCGAAAAGGUCAUCCUGCAUGGUCAUCCUGCAAGUCUCUCUUUGACAACAUCGUUUAGUGUUAACUAAUCCUUGUCAAAUUUGUGGGCGAAACUUAAAAUAUUUUUGUUUCAAACAUAAUUUUUCUAUAAUGCACAAGUGAGAUAGUUGUUCUUACAUGUAUAGGUUUAUUUCUAACAUUGAAUCAAUAAGUCUUGCCAUCGAAUUAAAUAAGAUAUGAUAAGAAUUAUUGAUUUAGUAGUUAAAAAUAAACUUAUGUUGGUACAAAACUAUUUGCUAAUAUUCUUUAUAUUGAUUUUCUACUUCCAUUGUACUUCAUACAAAACUAUUUAACUUUUUUCUUUUAGCAAAGACAAAGUUAAUUCAUUUCAUUAAAAAUUAACAGAUAGAAAGUCGGCCUUAUUACAUGAUGAAAGAUAUGGGGGCUGAGAUAGUGAUGCUCUAACAAUACUAUGAGUAACUCUAUUUGCUUGCCUCCUAUCAUACGACACUACAAAGUUGGGUCUAUUAAGUAGUAAACUUCUACAUUGAGUUACAAGAUCACCGAACUCGUUGAUGGCAGUAGUGGUGGUGGCAAGAGCAUCAGAUAAGAUUUUUGAAUCAGUCUUAAACAUGACGUCACAUUCCAUGUGAGAUAGUCACUUUGAUAGCGAUUCCAGCCGUGUAGGAGCACUAGCACUGUGAAAUUUUAUGAAAUCACUUUGUUUUUGCAACUUGUGAGUGACAAAAUUGCUUUCAAAAAAGUUGGUGGACAAGAAUUUGAUAAUUGAAUCUUGUAUAUGGUAAAACUUGGUUGAGACGGUAGAAUCGCGGCAUUUUUAUAUGUAACCUGAUUUUUUUUACAUACAUAAUCAUGUUAUUGAUAUGAAGUAUUACUUUUGUCUAGUGGUGAUUAAUCUCAAUCAAAUUUUUGGGUGAAACUUAAAACAUUUUUGUUUCAAACAUAAUUUUAUUCUAUAAUGCACAAUUAAGAUAGUUGUUGUAACAUGUACAUGUUUAUUUCUAGCAUUGAAUCAACAAGUCUCGCCAUCGGACUAAAUAAGAUAUGAUAAAAAUUAUUGAUUUAAUUGUAAAAAAACAAACUUAUGUAUGGUACAAAACUGUUUACUUAUGUGUCAUAGAUUAAAGUGAUUCCUAUCAAUAAUACGAAGUCCAAAUACUCUUUAUAUUGAUUUCUACUUUCAUUGUAUUUCAUACAUAACUAUUUUACUUGUGCGUCGUAGAAUUAAAAGUGAUAUACUUAUCAAUAACAAACUUUGGUACAAAGAGUUUUGUUGAUUUUGACGAAGCACAAUGAUAUUAAAGUAAUUGAAAGUAUUAGAAGACAGGUGAUAAAUGGAAGACAGAUAACAAACAUAGUAAAAUGAUAUUUUAUUCUUAUUAUAUUAUUUUGUACUAGAAAUUGAUAAAAGUAUUCAUAUUUUAAAAUAUAAAAAAAAAAAAAAAAUCAAAUUUCAUAAAGUGAUUGGGCUCAAAUGACUAAUUAAUUUCAAUUUUUAGUUGAAACAAUUUUGGACCAUGUUCUCCUUAUAUCACGGUUGAACUUUGAAUACUGAAAAACCAAAGGUUAACACAAAAAAAAAAUUGCAAGAUUAUAAUAUUCAUACACUAAUUUUCACUCUUUUGCAACAAAUUUCUCCAAUUCAAAGCUAAUUGUUUGUGACGACAAUGUGGAGUCUUUGGAAAAGUUGCAAUUUGAAACUUUGGCAACAACAGAAUGAACAAAGUUCCUAAAUUGUUCAGUGCGCAACUCAUUUAUCGGAUGACUGGAGAGUGGCUCAAGUUAUCAGGUCCCGAAGUGAAGAAAGGACAACUACAGCAAGGCAAGCACAUAUAAGUCAUGAAGGGGAGACAUGGAAAAAACCGGCAGCGGGCAGGUAUAAAUGUAAUAUUGCUGCAUCAUUUUCUUCAUUGCUUAACAUUGUAGGAUUGGGAAUAUGCAUUAGGAAUGAUGCUGGUGAAUUUGUGCGGUCCAAAACGGAUUGGUUUGCUCCCUUAUGCGAUGUUGAUCUAAGGGAAACCGUUGGUUUACACACAACUCUGCAAUGGAUCUCAGACCUUCAAUUCGACAACGUGGACUUCGCUCUAGAUUCUAAAAGAGUUGUUGAUCAUGUUAAUUCUUAUGAAGAUGAUAAUAGUGACUUUGGUUGUAUAAUUUCUGCUUAUAGAUGAUUGUUACAAAAUAGAUUUCAGAACUCUCAUAUCGAGUUCAAUAGGAGGCAAGUAAAUGGGGUCACUCACAAGUUAGCUCGGACAGCCCCAUUAAAUCCUAGCUCACAUAUUAUAGAUGAUGCUCCUUCAUAUAUUUGGCACAUUUUAACCAAUGAAAUGCAAUGAAUUUCUUCAUAAAAAAAUCAAAUAAAAAAUUUGCAAACUUAAAAUGAGACAAAUGAUACAUAGGGAGAAAUAAAUUAUUAUACAUUAAUAACAUUAAAAUGUGCACAUCUCAAAUCUCAAAGAAGAAUCAUAAAAUACAUAAACACUCAAAGAGUAGAGAAGUUAGAUCAACAUUCCAUCUACCCUGUAAAAGGAAAAUAACACAUUACACAACUAUAAACCAGCUAAUGUUAAACGAAAUUGAUGGCUAAAUUCUUUUAUUUUACUAAUCAAAUCUAUGUGUUUAAUGCUAUUAUCAUGCUUCUUCAUCUUUGGCUGAAACAAUGACCAAAUCUCAUUCUCCAAACUCUUUGUUGUAUAUUUAAUAAUAUGCUUAUCAACCACACCUUCAUCAUUUUGAUCAAUUGACAAAAUGUAAUUCUUCAAAUAAACCUUAUAGAUUGGUAUAAUACCUUCCACCAAAUGCUUGCAUAUGUUUUCCCUCAAUAUCACAUCAGAGAUUAUCCAAUUACAUUGCUUCUUAUACAUUUCAUCAAAAGCUAGACUAAAAGCAUUUAUUCUCUUAACCAAAUCUUGACAAGUCAUUGAAGAUGAAACUACAAGAAUAUUUUGAAGAUUUCCCCAACUAUUCCUCAAAUAAAGGGCUGCAUAAUAUUCUUUAUAUUGUUCAUGUGCUCUUAACCAAGAAUCUCCCAUCAUAUUUCCAACUAAAGUACCCUUUAAAUUGUAGAAAUGACAAUGGUUAUUCAUCAUAAAAAAAUAUGACAAAUUUAUAUCUUCAUAGGCUUUUGACCAAUCAUCCAAAUUAACUGCAACUUCCUUAAUUAUGCUAUAUAUUUGACCAACAAAAAUACCCUCUUCAAAUAGUUCAUUUCUCCAACUAAGAUAUAUUUCCAAAACCUUAUUCAAUUGUGGCUUAUACUCAUCACUAAGAAGCCUAUUACAAUAAUCGGUGACAAAACUUACCAAUUUAGGAACACUUCCAUCUGAGGGAGGACAUGUUGGUCUUUGCAACUUCACUUGUUCUGAAAGUAGCAAGAAUAUCUCACUAGCACCAUUAACAAUUCUUGUGAUAAGAUCCUUUGUCACAAUUCUAAUUCUUUCACAAGCUUCCCCUCUAAAAAGUUGAUUAAAUUUUAGUCUUAAAUCAUUCAAGACUUUGAACAUUGACAACAAGUUCAACAGCUUGAAAGGAUCAUUUUUCCUCUCAGUAACAACCUUUCCAAAUUCGAUAAAUGUAAGCAUUCCCGAUUCAAUAGCAAUCUUUGCAAAACAACUCAUGGAUGCUUCUAAACCAAUUUUCUCAAACACGAUAUGACAUAGCUUGUACUCCACGUCUAGAAGUUUCUUAACAACCAACUCCAAAUGGUUUCCCCAUUUGUCUAUCAAAUUUUCCAUUCCAUGUGCAUCUUCAAUCUCAGUUAUUGAAAACUUAAGGUAGCUCAAAUCCAAAGUCUUCAAACUUCGAUGAGCAUUCGUUCCACGAAUUUCAACAUACAUAGUUUGACACUUUUGUAUCCUGUUAUUAGCAUUUAAUCUCUCGGCAAUGACCUGUAACUUCCGUGUUAAAGAACUUGGAAAAUUCAAAUCUUGCUUCACAGCGUUGUUUUGUUGACCAACGUGUGAUGUUAAUGAACCCAAAGAUAGAGGCAUAGAAUUUUCCAUUAGAAGUUUGUGAAAAGCAAUCUCUAGUUUGUCAAAAGCAAUACUGAGAAUUCCUCCAUCGACACGAGCACCGUUCUCCAUGGUUUGCAAUUCUUGCAAUAUUCUCAAGGAUUUGUUUACAUUAAGAAGGUAAAACUCAUUGGUACUAAUUGUUGUUUUGUCUUGUAAAAACUCAAAAGUACUUCUCAACCAACUGGUUGCUAACUUGCAAUUAGCUGUGAGAAGCUUCAAUGAUUCUUCAAGCUUCUUUGUGUUGGAGACAUAUGUGAGUAAAUCAAAACUCGCAUCUAUCGAAAGAGAAUGUUCCAAUUGAGUAACACAUUGAAAAACUUUGAGAACUGCUGAAACAGAACAUAGAACGCUGUCUAUACCAUGUUCAACAUCAGAAAAUGAAAUACUUUGCAAUUGCAUAGAGAUGGAUUUAAGUGAAGCUUGCAUGGAUAAACAUCUUUGGUUAAGAAGCUGUAAUCUUGAACUAGACUCAUCUAAUGCAGAUGAAAUAGAUAUUGAUGUUUCUAAGCUAGAAGUUAAUAACUUUCUGGUAGCUUCAAUGUUUUCUUUGCUUUCCAUGUUAAAGAUUGGAAAAUUAACUGUUUGUUAGUUUGGCUUUUGAGAUUGUAUUGAGAAAUGAUUAGAUUUCAACAUGAUGUUUGGUGUAAUGAAAAAGAAGAUCUUUGUUGGUUUCUUGUUAAUCUAACAAUCCACUUUCUUUCACCAAACUCAACAAAUGUAAGUAAUAAAAGGAGUUAACUUCAUUUGCAAAGAAACAUCUUAGAAACUUCAACCAAUAAGCAGUAGAACUUCCUUGAAUUUGGGCAACAAAUUUCUUAGCACAAUUAUUUAAUUAUUUAUUUAUUCAUCAUUUUGUCCUAGCUUUCUUGUUUGAUUUGAAGUCUAAGACAUGCAAGUAGUCUUGCUUCAAUUACCUCAACAAACACCAACUAUAUGCAUCACAUUUUCUGAUUGAUGACAGGAACGUAAACUUUAAUGUAAUUUAUUGGAGGGUGCUCGAGAGGGAUUUCAGGGAGAAAGUUGGCAGGAAUCUAACAGCAUAGAAACAUUAAAGAAUUGGGAAAGUUAUUAGUUUAACUGCAACAAUUAUUCUCCAGACAAUGCAAUGAAAGUACAUAAAAAAGAUGAUUGUUAGCCAAACACAUGAAAGUCAUAACUACACAAUUUUCCAUGAAAAGUUACUACUUUUGGAAACUUAAACAAUGUAUGUAGCCACCUGUUCGAAACUAUAAUACAUUUGUAAUCUCGUUUCCCCUUAAAUUGUUCCAAGGAAGAGAGAAACAGGACAACAAAAACACAAACAAUGUUGCACUGUUUAGAAUUGAUUUAUGUUUUUUCUCAAAAAGUUCAAGGUUAAAAAUGAUUAACUUUGAAUAUGAAAAGAAAACGCAUAGAAAUCAUUAUAAUACACCUAAUCAUUCACACAAUAACUAGCAUCAUUAUCUAAGGAUAUAGGAACAUAAGGCCAGCCAUAACAAAUAGUCAUUGUCAUCUGAUUGAGAUUAUGAUAUCAAUAUACGUUGUCCAAUUGCAUGUCUACAUAAAAUAAAAUAUAGGCAAUAAGGAUUUUGUUGUGUAAUAUCCAUGUAAAGAAUACAAACAAAAAUGGAACUUAGAGGGGAAAAUUUAAAACUAUUAAGUUGGCUGCCACCAAAAGUCACAGGAAUUUGAAGCAAUAAUAACACCAAGCUUGAAGCUGUAGCUGCCACCCGAAAUCUACACAAGUUGUUGAUAAGAAAUACAAACAGAUAGAUAGAAGCAUAAGAGAAAAUGCGAGCAAUUGCUUCUAUUGAGCGGUUCCCUUCUGUUUCAAAGUGAUUUUAUCCCCAAGACUCAGAGCAAUUCCCUGGGUUUUACUUCUUAUUCUGAUAUAACCGCUCAAUUUACCAUCGGAUUGCUUCUCAAUGCUCACAUUCACAAGAGCAUCUUCCCCAAAAACACUCUUUGCAUACAGAUUUGCAGCUAGAAAACCACACUCGCCUUCCAAUGCAGAGCUGAACAAGAGACAAUGUAAACCAAAUUAAGCAGAUUGCAUGGGUCCCCCAUCAAAUCAAGACACAGCAAUUACAUAAAAUGUAGAAAUAUUAAUGAAUCCCACAAUCAGUUAUAGGGACUAUGCAUCAUGUUUUUUAAUUGAAAAACAUUUUUCCUUAAAAAGAAAAACAGAAUUCUGGUAGUAUAUAGUCAGACAUGGACACAACAAUAACAGUCAUAAAGUUUAUGCAAGUUAAAGGAACUCACGGUGGAGUCAGGCACUUCAUAUUUGUAGACUUGAUAAUGUGGCCCAGAAACUCCCUCUCGUCUUGCAAUACUGUAUUUACAGCAACCU